rnacentral:rRNA from 1 species
AUUGAACGCUGGCGGCAUGCUUUACACAUGCAAGUCGAACGGCAGCGCGGGCUUCGGCCUGGCGGCGAGUGGCGAACGGGUGAGUAAUGCAUCGGAACGUGCCCAGUAGUGGGGGAUAGCCCGGCGAAAGCCGGAUUAAUACCGCAUACGACCUGAGGGUGAAAGCGGGGGACCGAAAGGCCUCGCGCUAUUGGAGCGGCCGAUGUCGGAUUAGCUAGUUGGUGGGGUAAAGGCUUACCAAGGCGACGAUCCGUAGCUGGUCUGAGAGGACGACCAGCCACACUGGGACUGAGACACGGCCCAGACUCCUACGGGAGGCAGCAGUGGGGAAUUUUGGACAAUGGGGGCAACCCUGAUCCAGCCAUGCCGCGUGCGGGAAGAAGGCCUUCGGGUUGUAAACCGCUUUUGUUCGGGAAGAAAUCCUCUGGGCUAAAACCCCGGGGGGAUGACGGUACCGGAAGAAUAAGCACCGGCUAACUACGU